UGUAAAAAGAAAUUAUUAUGGAUAAUUAGCUAUAUAUUAAAGAAUCACAUAGAUGUUAUCUUGAUUCUAAGAGAAAUCCUAAAUAAUAAAACAAAGUGAAUUGAAAUAUCUCAGUAACUUUAGGAAAAUAAAUCAAACGAGAUUAUUAUUUAAGUAAAUACUAAAUAAUAAUAGCCUAAUUUAAGUAAAAUGGAUAAUAUCUGUUUGAAUAUAGGGGAACCUUCCUCUAAGGCUAAAUAUGAUAUAUAAGCGAUAGUGAAUAGUACCGUGAGGUAACAUUUGAAAUAGUAAUUUUAUAAGCAGCUCGAGUAAAAAUUAAAAUUAAAAAUAAGAGUGUACCUUUUGCAUAAUGGGUCAGCAAGUUAAUUUUAGAUGCAAGUGGUAUAAAUAAUUAUAUAUGGUAUAAUCUAUAUAAUUAAAUUACCUAAGAUAAACCAAUUAUGAAAAAAUGAUAAGUAUCUAAAAUUAGACCCGAAGGCUAGUGAUCUUACCAUGAUCAGGGUUAAAAAGGCCCGAACGGGUUAUCGUUGUAUAGAUAUCCGAUGAAUUGUGGUAAGUUAGUGAAAGAUAAAACUGACUAGUAUAGCUGGUUUUCCGCGAAACCUAUGUGAGUAGGUAAUUUAAUUAACAUCUUAGCAGGUACAGAACUGUGAUCUCGGACAAUAUUAUUUUUAUAAUACUUGUUUACAUCGGGGGAUUGUAGUGAUUUUAUCGGAGAGUAUUUGCACUCGGAAGGGCAAAGAUGAAUAUUGAAUAAUCGGACAUAGUACGAUAAGGUUGUAUGUCUAAAGGGAAACAGCCCAGAACAAGAGUUUAAGGUUCCAAAAUUAUUGUUAAGUGAAAUUAAGGAUGUUUUUUUCAAAAACAAUCAGGAAAUAGGCUUAGAGGCGGCCAUUUUUUGAAGAUCUCGUAACAGAGCACUGAUUAAAUUUAAUAGGAAAAAAUACCGAAAAUUUAACGGAUCUAAAUAAUAUACCGAAACCUUGUACACAAUAACUGUGGGGUAGCGGAACAUCGGAUGUUUGAAUAAUUAGUAUAUUUAUUUUAUUAAGUAUACUUACACAUAUAAGUCAAAUGUAUUGUUUAUAAAAAAAAUAUAUUUAUAUAUUUUUUUUAUAAAUUUUCAUUUUUCAUAGAUUGGCUCAUAUUUUGAGUUUGACUUAUAUUGUUGAGAGAAUUCCGAUAGAGAAUGCUGACAUGAGUAACGAAAAAGUUAACCUCGCCUUAAGCUUAUGGUAUUUAAAUUAAUUUUCGGUGUCUAAGUAAUUAAUCUAAAGAUAAUUACGAUGACGUAAUGGUGAAUUUUUAAUUUAUAUAAUUAUAAAUUUAACUAAUUACAAAACUAUAAGUAACAAUAUAUAUAAUAUAUUACUAUAAUGAAAGAUUGCAUAACCUUUGUAAAGUAGCAGAGGUUCAGGAAAUAAGUUUUUUAUUAUAUACUAUUUAUAUUAUACAAAAUAUUGUUAUAUUAAAUGAUAUAGUAAUAAAAAAGUAAUUAGCAUAUACCGUACCUAGAUACUAUCACAAGUAAGCAAGUAGAGUAUACAAAGGCGUUUGAGUGAACAAUCAUUAAGGAACUCGGCAAAUUGACUACCGUAACUUCGGGAUAAGGAGAACCAUUUUUAUUAGUUUGACCAAUUUUAUAUUGGAUAAUUAUUAAAUUAAUAGAAAGAGGGGGCAUAGAAUAAUGUUGUACGACUGUUUAAUAAAAACAAAGCACUCUGCCAAGAUAAAAGUCUAAGUAUUGAGUGUGAUGUCUGCCCAAUGUCGGCUGGAUAACGAAUUUAUCUUGAUAUUUAUUUAAGGUUUUGAAGGAUACCCCGAUCAAUGGCGGCCUUACCUAUGAGGGUCCUAAGGUAGCGGAAUACCUUGGCCGUUAAAUGCGGUCUUUGCAUGAAUGACUUAACGAUACAACAGCUGUCUCGAUGAUUGUCUCAGUGAAAUUGGAAUAGCAGUGCAGAUACUGUUUACCUCUAGAUAGACGAGAAGACCCUAUGCAGCUUUACUGUUACUAAUUACAAGAGAUUACUUUAAGUUAAUUGCGAGUGUAUAAGGUAGUCGUAAGACAAUAAUGAAACACCUUUAUUUGUACUUAUUAUCUACUCUUGAUGAUUAGGAGGCAGUUUAUGCGGGGCACAGAUCCCACAAAAAGUACCUGGGUAUAUCCAAAGUUCAUAUUGUAAAUUUGUAAAUUUAGUUACAAAUAUUUUAAUUUGUUAUUAAUUAUGUUAAUAAUAAUACAGUUAUUAUUAGAUUAAAUUCAGUAUAUUUUUUAUUUUUAGUAAGAUUUUAACUAUAUGGUGAAUAGAUGUAUUUUAAGUUAAAUUUUUUUAUUUAGCUUAUUUUUAUAUUAAUAUUGUAUAUGUUCUUUAUUAAUAUAAUUUUUAUAUAUACUAUAAAAGUUUAAUGGCUAAAUCUUGCUUUACUGUUUGACUUACAAGUCUAUCAGUCGCGUAAGCGGGGCAUAUGAUCACAAGAUGCAUAAAGGAAAGGUCUUGGAUUAAAGAAAAAGUUACGCUAGGGAUUUAGCUUAAGUCCCCUAAUAUCAUAAGAUAUUAUAUAUAAUUUGGGUAAAUUUCAAAAACAACUUUAAAAGUGAAUUUGAAGCGAAACUUAUUUUAGCUUUAAUUUUAUAUUUUAUAUAAAAUAAAAUAAGGACGUUCAACGACUAAAAGGUGAGUAUUGCUAACAAUAAUCCUUAUUAGAUACGCCCAACAUCUUUAUAAAUUAUAAUUAGUAUAAAUAUUAUUAUUAUUAUAAUAAUGAAAUAGACUUGAUGUUAUUAUCAAGCUUGUUAUUUUUAUAAUAACAUUAAAUAUAAAUAUGUUAAAUAUUAUAAAAUCUAAAUUGAAUACUUCUUAUAAAAAAAAACGUAGUAAUAAUAAAAAUGUUACUAUAGGUUAUAAAAAUUUUGUACCUGCUAUAAGAGAUUGAAAAAAUAGUAUUUAUGUUUAUAAUAAAAAUACUUUAAGUUUAAUACCAGUAGCUAGUAAUUAUAUUAUGAAAUUAAUUAAAGGUUAUUUUAGUUUAUCUAAUUUAAAAUUAGAAAAAAAAUUAAGAAAAGAAAAUCUACGUCGUAGAUCCAUAAAAUUAUCUACAAAUAAAAUUUUUUUAAGUGAUGGUGAAUUUAAACAUACAAAUGAUAAAGUAAUUAUUACAUUAUAUUUAUAUAAUAGACAAAAAUACAAUUAUUUAUAUAAAUUAAAAAAAAGAUAUGUAAAAUUAUUUGUUAAAACUAAAUUUUUGGAAAAACUAGAUUUAAUUAAAUCUAAAGGAUUAGAAAUUUUAGAAAAACAAAAAGAAUAUAAAAAAGAAUUAAAAUUAGUUUUACCUAGUUAUAAUUAUAAAGUAUCUCUUUUUCAACAUUUAUAUUACAAAAAUUUCAUUAAAAAAAGUUUAAAAAGACUUAAGUUUUAUAUGUUUUAUAAACAAUUACUUUAUAUUAAUCAAAAUAAAUUUAAUUAUUCUUACUUACAAGGUUUAAUAUAUUUAAUAAAAAAAAUUUUUAAUAAAAAUGUAGAAUUAAAUUUAAUAAAUUUAAAAUAUUUUUAUUUUAAUAGUGAUAUUUUUUCACAACCUUUAGUUUUAAAAUUAAGAAAAAAAAGAAAUUUAUUAAGAUAUUUGAAAGCUUGUGUUAGAAAAGUAAAAAUAAAAAAAACUAAUGAAAUAAUAAAUAAUUAUUUUUUUGAUCUUAAUCAAUUGUCUAAUAUAAAAGAUGUAGAUAUUUUAAAUAAUUUGUUAUUAGAGUUAUUAAAACAUAAUGAAAAAAAUUAUAGAAACAAUAUUAUAUUAAGAAAUAAAUAUGGUAUUAAUAUAUUAAAAUAUAUAAUAUUAAAUAAUAUUAAAUAUAAAAGAGUAUCUGGUGUUAGAUUAGAAGCUGCAGGUAGAUUAACUAAACGUUAUACUGCAUCAAGAUCUCGUUAUAAAGUUAUUUAUAAAGGUAAUUUAGAAAAUACACUUUCUUCUAUUAAAGGUUAUUCUUCUGUAUUAUUAAGAGGAAACUUUAAGCCUAAUUUACAAUACACUAAACUAAAUUCUAAAUCUAGAAUUGGUUCUUUUGGUGUUAAAGGUUGAGUUAGUGGUGAGUAAAUUAUCUGUAUAUAUUAUAAAAAUUAUUCUUAUUUAUAUAAAGAUGAAGAAAUAGUCUGAACCAUUUUUUGAAAAAUGGAAAUAAAUAUUUUAUGGUAACAAAAAUUGAACAGGCUAAUUUGCGCAAGAGAGUACAAAUUGAGUGCGCGGUUUGGCACCUCGAUGUCGGCUUAGCUCAUCCACAUGAAUGCAAAAAUCAUGAAGGGUUCGACUGUUCGUCGAUUAAAGAGCUACAUGAGCUGGGUUUAAUACGUCGUGAGACAGUAUGGUUUCUAUCUUCUAGAGGAAAUUGAAGUAAAAUAAAGAUAGCCCCUUCGUACGAAAGGAGUUGGGUAUGUUGAUCUAUGGUUUACUUGUUGUUUAUAAUGCAAUAUUUUUGCCGCUUACUUUUACUUAAGUAAGUUGUUUAUAGGCAUGGCAAGAAAGCUACAUCAAUUAGAGAUAAGUGCUGAAUGCAUUUAAGCGCGAAACUCACUUUAAGAUACUUAUAAACGUAGUAGAACACUACGAUUUAUUAUAAAAAAAUUUUACAAAUAAAUUUUUCUUUAUAAUAAAUAGGUUUUAGUUGUAUAUAAUAUAUAUAUAUAUAUAUAUAUAUUGACAUAAAAUACUAAUUUUUUUAUUAACUAAAAAUUUUCCAUAGCAAUG
rnacentral:rRNA from 1 species